rnacentral:rRNA from 1 species
GGUUACUGCUAUCGAGGUUCGACUAAGCCAUGCNAGUCGAAUGUAGCAAUACAUGGCGUACUGCUCAGUAACACGUGGACAACCUGCCCUUAGGUCGGGUAUAAACCCGGGAAACUGGGUAUAAUCCCCUAUAAGUCUCGGCUGCUGGAAUGCACCGAGAUUAAAAGCUCCGGCGCCUAAGGAUGGGUCUGCGGCCUAUCAGGUAGUAGUGGGUGUAGCGUACCUACUAGCCUACGACGGGUACGGGUUGUGAGAGCAAGAGCCCGGAGAUGGAUUCUGAGACACGAAUCCAGGCCCUACGGGGUGCANCAGGCGCGAAAACUUUACAAUGCUGGCAACAGCGAUAAGGGAACCUCGAGUGCCAGGUUACAAAUCUGGCUGUCGAGAUGCCUAAAAAGCAUUUCAUAGCAAGGGCCNGGCAAGACCGGUGCCAGCCGCCGCGGUAACACCGGCGGCUCGAGUGGUAACCGUUAUUAUUGGGUCUAAAGGGUCUGUAGCCGGCCGGAUAAGUCUCUUGAGAAAUCUGGCAGCUUAACUGUCAGGCUUUCAGGAGAUACUGUCUGGCUCGAGGCCGGGAGAGGUGAGAGGUACUUCAGGGGUAGGGGUGAAAUCUUGUAAUCCUUGAAGGACCACCAGUGGCGAAGGCGUCUCACCAGAACGGACCUGACGGCAAGGGACGAAAGCUAGGGGCACGAACCGGAUUAGAUACCCGGGUAGUCCUAGCCGUAAACGAUACUCGCUAGGUGUCGGCCACGGUGCGACCGUUGUCGGUGCCGUAGGGAAGCCGUGAAGCGAGCCACCUGGGAAGUACGGCCGCAAGGCUGAAACUUAAAGGAAUUGGCGGGGGAGCACCACAACGGGUGGAGCUUGCGGUUU